rnacentral:rRNA from 1 species
GCGCGCCUAACACAUGCAAGUCGAACGAGAGAUGAGGAGCUUGCUCUUCAAAUCGAGUGGCGAACGGGUGAGUAACGCGUGAGGAACCUGCCUCAAAGAGGGGGACAACAGUUGGAAACGACUGCUAAUACCGCAUAAGCCCACAGCUCGGCAUCGAGCAGAGGGAAAAGGAGCAAUCCGCUUUGAGAUGGCCUCGCGUCCGAUUAGCUAGUUGGUGAGGUAACGGCCCACCAAGGCGACGAUCGGUAGCCGGACUGAGAGGUUGAACGGCCACAUUGGGACUGAGACACGGCCCAGACUCCUACGGGAGGCAGCAGUGGGGAAUAUUGCACAAUGGGGGAAACCCUGAUGCAGCGACGCCGCGUGGAGGAAGAAGGUCUUCGGAUUGUAAACUCCUGUUGUUGAGGAAGAUAAUGACGGUACUCAACAAGGAAGUGACGGCUAACUACGUGCCAGCAGCCGCGGUAAAACGUAGGUCACAAGCGUUGUCCGGAAUUACUGGGUGUAAAGGGAGCGCAGGCGGGAGAACAAGUUGGAAGUGAAAUCCAUGGGCUCAACCCAUGAACUGCUUUCAAAACUGUUUUUCUUGAGUAGUGCAGAGGUAGGCGGAAUUCCCGGUGUAGCGGUGGAAUGCGUAGAUAUCGGGAGGAACACCAGUGGCGAAGGCGGCCUACUGGGCACCAACUGACGCUGAGGCUCGAAAGUGUGGGUAGCAAACAGGAUUAGAUACCCUGGUAGUCCACACCGUAAACGAUGAUUACUAGGUGUUGGAGGAUUGACCCCUUCAGUGCCGCAGUUAACACAAUAAGUAAUCCACCUGGGGAGUACGACCGCAAGGUUGAAACUCAAAGGAAUUGACGG